CACGGGGCAAUCCUGGUGGCGAGUGGCGAACGGGUGAGUAAUAUAUCGGAACGUGCCCAGUCGAGGGGGAUAACGUAGCGAAAGCUACGCUAAUACCGCAUACGAUCUACGGAUGAAAGCGGGGGAUCGCAAGACCUCGCGCGAUUGGAGCGGCCGAUAUCAGAUUAGCUAGUUGGUGGGGUAAAAGCCCACCAAGGCGACGAUCUGUAGCUGGUCUGAGAGGACGACCAGCCACACUGGAACUGAGACACGGUCCAGACUCCUACGGGAGGCAGCAGUGGGGAAUUUUGGACAAUGGGCGAAAGCCUGAUCCAGCAAUGCCGCGUGCAGGACGAAGGCCUUCGGGUUGUAAACUGCUUUUGUACGGAACGAAACGGUCUCUUUUAAUACAGGGGGCUAAUGACGGUACCGUAAGAAUAAGCACCGGCUAACUACGUGCCAGCAGCCGCGGUAAUACGUAGGGUGCAAGCGUUAAUCGGAAUUCUGGGCGUAAAGCGUGCGCAGGCGGUUAUAUAAGACAGAUGUGAAAUC
rnacentral:rRNA from 1 species